rnacentral:misc_RNA from 1 species
AUUAAUUCCUACUUCCUUCCUAACCUUUUUUUAGUGCCUACUUGCCUUCUAGGCUGAGCUCGUCACAUGGGACUUGCCUAGUGCAGUUUGCUCUCCUGUGCAGUUUGUGAGCUAUUGCAUACGAGUGGUUGGGGUUCCCUUAUCAUUGAAAAAGAGAGCAUUUUUCCCCUGUUCCUGCGAGACUAAAAUAUGAACCAAAAGAAGAAGUACUAGGACUACAACCUCAGGGGUCGUUUGG